rnacentral:rRNA from 1 species
AUGUUGGUUAAGUCCCGCAACGAGCGCAACCCUUGUCAUUAGUUGCUACAUUCAGUUGGGCACUCUAAUGAGACUGCCGGUGACAAGCCGGAGGAAGGUGGGGAUGACGUCAAGUCCUCAUGGCCCUUAUAGGUGGGGCUACACACGUCAUACAAUGGCUGGUACAAAGGGUUGCCAACCCGCGAGGGGGAGCCAAUCCCAUAAAGCCAGUCGUAGUCCGGAUCGUAGUCUGCAACUCGACUACGUGAAGUCGGAAUCGCUAGUAAUCGUGGAUCAGAAUGUCACGGUGAAUACGUUCCCGGGCCUU